GUGAUUGUGAAAAUGUUGAUGAAUUCCGAGGUCGUAUUAAAAAUUGACACGACAUUAGUUGCGGAAUUGGACUAAAUUGUAAAGGAAAGUUGUUGAGUUAAUUUGGUACUUUAGCCAUUAAGUGUCCACCAUAUUAUCCACUAGAAUUAUUAUCUUCUUCAUUUUAUAAUAAACAUAAAGAAGCCUCCAAACCCUCUCCUAGAAGCUCCUAUUGCCGAACACUCACCUCCACUCCCAUCUUCACCAAAUUCUCACCAAAACUCACAAUUUUUGAAGGCAAAUCAUUCAUUGAUAAAAGACUCGGCGAGUCGACUACCAACGGAACACGGUACUUAAAGAACGUGAUAUGACCGUAGCUUUUGGAUAGAAAACUUGUUAUGUUUCAGGUGUAUAAUAUCGAAUGUAACGGACUUCUAUCCUUGUUCCAGAAGUCCGCGUGUACAGAAAGAAGGAACCAAUCAGUAGUGCUGCAGUAGUCGAGUCCUAGAGUGUAAUUAUGUUUUUUCAAACGGUUUUAAAUAUUUUGUUUAUACUCUGAUAUGUAUAAAGGCUUUAGACUGCGCUUUAAAACCGUUUAUAUAUAUAUGAGAAACAGGGCAUUGCUUGAUAUGAGAUAUCGCUUUGUAAGACCCUGAUUUCUAAAGAUUGUUUUGUAUCGUUUAAAGAAGUUUUAUAAAAAUGUUUUGAGAA